GGAGGCGGGGGAUCGGGGGAUUCGACAAGCACCUUAUAUAUAGGAGAUAGAGACCGAAAAAGAAAGUAUCCACACUUCAAUGAAUCAAUCAUUCAAAAUUAAAAGAUCGAGUUAAUCAAUUCAUUUGAUUGAUAGGAUUAUUAGGCUCAUAAUGAGAACGGUUUUAACAUAAUUGACAUGAUUGAUGAUUUGAUUGUUCCGAAUUGACUGUGAUCGAUCGUCAAUCAAUCAAUUUGAUUGGUGAGACAAUAGACUUGUAAUUGAAAGGGUUUAGAUGUAACACGAAGGGACUCAACGUGAUUGGUGAUCUGAUUGGUCCAGAUUAACUAUCAUUAACCGUGAGUAAAUCAAUCAAUCAAUUUGAUUGGUGGGGAUAGUCGGCUUGUAAUUGGAAGUGACUCAGCGUGAUUGGUGAUUUGGUUAUUCUAGAUUGACCGUGAUUGAUCAUUUGGCUUGAAGUGGAAGGUCCUAAGUGUUGACGAUCCUUAUGUCAGAAAUCUGACCGUCACGCUACUCAAAGAAUAAAGGAAAACUAACAUUCCUUACUUACAUAUUUGUUAUCAAUAACCUAGUGCACAUGUAUUGGAAAAUAAGUUAUUUCAGGGAUACAAGUCUGUACAAGAGAGAAAACGUGCGCAAACAUGGAUGAAACACACAGAAGGACACUUGACGCGCACAUGACGGUUAAGAAGGCCCACAUGCCAGAGCAAAUUAGCCCAAUCCUAGUCCACAAGGGAAAUGACUAAGGCUCACCAGGCAGCCCACCACACAAAGGCGGUGGCGAGGUGGCCUAGCCCAGGGUCAGCCAAACCUUAGGUUCAGCCGAACCUGGACAGGCUUCCCUCGUCGUCAUCCUCCACGUGGCGGUCCCUGAUUGACUCCCAAAGGCGGUGGAGGAAGAUUCCCCAAAGAUGCCUCCCGGGAACCGCCUCUACACACCUAUAAAGAGAGGAGGAGGAGCCCUUUCUCACACACACCACACUUGAAGCCUCUCUCCCUCUCUCUCUCUUGCUACUCUUGUAAUCCUUAGGCUAGUGGAGCUUGCUAUAACUAAAAUAUUGUAGCGCUAAGCUAUUCUUUGGGUCAGUUGGGCACGUUAACCUCCGGCUCUCGGUAUGGCUUUUUACUCGGCUUGUCCAUAUCCUAUUUACAAAGAGUAUGGUUGCUAUGCUAUUUUUGUAGUAUAUUAUGCCAUGUCUUGUGCUUUACUAAGUUAUACUCAUAUGCUUAGGCUGAAUCUAUGUUACCACAUCGGUUUGUUGUGCCUUCGGGCUUGCUCUAGUUCUAUGCUUGUCAAUCAUCAUGGUCGGGGUUCCGGAGGGGCUAGAGUAGUGAUCACGUGUAUGAGCGUGGUGCUCGGGCGCAUUGGGAUCCAUCGAAUAUGACUGUGCCCCGCGGUCUAAGGGGUAGGCGGAAGGUGGUGAUAGCCCUAUCCAUCCCUUAUAGUCCCCCACGUUCAGGUAUGGUGUAGGAGUUCUGAAACAUAUCUUGCCUUGGCAGACCAGGGCCAGGUAUUCUCCCCGUAAUGCUGUAUGCCUAGAGUUAGCUCUGAUCAUAUGCUUGUAUGACCCUUGCUAGUAUAGAUAGUUGCCAUUAGGACCUCUUGUAUGCCUUGCUCCCGCUAACCUUAGGUUUAUUCUUUUAUUCUUUAUUCUUGAGAUUGGCUUGUGUAUGCAUCACAUUACCCUCAUAUAUUUAUCAUAGCUUACCCCUGUGUGAACUUUGGUCUAUUACUUAAGCUUAUGAUCCUUGAUAUGUGUCCGAUAAAUCCUUGUACACCAAUGUCAUCCUUUGGGAAAAUAUAAAUAACGAUAUCCAGAAUACUCUCUGGGUGAAAUGCUUCAACGAUAUAUCCGUGCGCUUGCGGAUUUAUUCGUAACUUUAAUAAAUACCAACAAGCAUUUUUUGCGUCGUUGCCGGGAUGGCAUUGGUUAAAAGAUUUAUCAAUACAUGUUAUUGGUUAUAUGAUUAAGGAAUAGCCAUUGCUUAUACAGGCUAGCUUAUCUUUGUUUUCUCCUGAUGGAUGAAAACAUUGCUUAUACAAGUUUCGACUUGCCGACCAACUUCAUCAAGAAUCCGGAAUGUCUCCUGAGAAGGGUCUGACCUCGUGUCAUCUCUCCUCAGAUCAUUCUUUCAGCAACCGAACCAGUCAUCCUAGCACCAUCCAUUCCUAAGGCUAUGGCUGAAAAGACUCUUCCCGAGUUCUCCAUCCCCUCCACCGACAAUGUGGCCACUAACCCCGCUAUUGACUUGGGGGAUGUGAACUUCGAGCUGAAGGCGAACCUCAUCAACAUGGUGCAAGCUAGCCCCUUCUGUGGCAAGCUGAACAAGGACGCAAAUACUCAUCUCCAACACUUCCUUGGCCUUUGUGACAUGGUCACAAUGAGAGGAGUCACCCAAGACACCAUCAGACUCCAUCUUUUCCCAUUCUCUCUCCUCGGGAGGGCGAAACAGUGGUUCUAAAAGGAUAAGGAUGCUGUCAACAUGUGGGAAAAAUGCUCCAUGGCGUUCCUCACCAAAUUAUUCCCGUUGGGCAAAACAAAUGUCCUCUGUGGAAAGAUUUCCAGCUUUUAGUAGUCAAGCAUGGAGACGAUCCCAGAGGCGUGGGAUAGGCUGCAAGAAUACAUCCUUGCCUACCCACACCAUGGGAUGGACGACUGGAUCAUCCUCUAAAGCUUCUACAAUGGGCUAACCAUGUCAGCACGAGCCUAUCUUGACGCUGCUACUGGAGGAGCCUUCCUCGACCUCACUAUUACCAAGGCUACGGCCCUGGUCGAGAAGAUGGUCUCCAACCAGGGGUGGAGCAAAGAAUGACUCCAACCUCGUACGCGGGGCAUGCACACCAUCAAGGAGAUGAACAUGCUAGCCACUAAGCUAGAUCUCCUACUCAAGUGCAUGGACAAGCGGGAGAAGCUGCAAGAACUUAUGCUCAAUCCCAUUGAAGCCUUGGACUCGCACCUCACGUGUGAGGUCUGCAGAAAUGGAGGACACUUGGGGAACGAUUACCCCGAGACCCGUGAAGAUGUCUCUUACAUGAACAACAAUAGCAACAACUGGUACCGUCCUCAAGGUAGUCAAGGGUGGAACCAGUCGCGCCCACACUACCAGUGAGGUAACAAUAAUUUCAAUUCAAAUUACAAUUCAAACCAACCUUCCUUAAGGGACCUUGUUCUUGACCAAGCUAUAAUUAAUGAAUCUCUGUCUAAAAAGUUUGCUACCAAUGAUAAAACCUUGGAAAGCAUCAAUGUUAAAAUUGAAAGUCUUUCCUUUGUGUUUAAAAAUCAAGUGAGCUUCAAUAAAAUGAUCAAAACCCAAUUAGCUUAAAUUGCCGCUAAUGUUCCUUUCAAAGUAAAUGCAAUGACCAGGAGGGGCAGUAAGUCCACUUGUGAUCCACCAUAUCCUAACCAUGUAGGGAAGGCAAAAGCACAUAAGGAACAAGUAGAGGAAAAGGAGCCGGUAACCCCAGAAGACACUAGGGAACCAGAAAAGGAAACAGCCCCGCAAGGGUUCGUAGAUAUGAGCUUCUUGCCAUUUCCUACCCGCAUCCGGAAGACGGCUGUGGAUGAGCAGUUCGCUCAUUUUGUUGAAAUGAUCCAGAAGAUACAUGUCAACGUCCCCUUGUUGGAAGUGAUGCAUGUUCUGAUGUACGCAUGAUACAUCAAGGACAUCAUCAACAACAAGCGACCUCUGCCCACCACUGAAGUCAUCAAGCUCAGGGAAGAGUGUAGCAAAGCUAUACUCAACAGAGUCCUGGAAAAGAAGAAAGAUCCGGGGUGUCCUAUGAUCACAUGCUUGAUAGGAACACACCGCUUCAACCGUGCUUUGUGCAACCUUGGGGCUAGCGUUAGCAUGAUGCCCAAGGUCAUCUUCGACCAGCUAAACUUCACACACCUAUCGCCCACACCAAUGCAUCUCCAGCUAGCUGAUUCCUUGGUCCGCUACCCGACAUGGAUAACAGAAGACAUUCUGGUGAAAAUCCAGGACUACUUCAUCCCUGUUGACUUCGUGGUGCUAGACAUGGAAACAUUAAAAGAGAAGCUGCUCAUUCUUGGGCAACCAUUCCUGAGCACAGCUGGAGCACACAUCGAUGUUGGAGCUAGAGAAAUCCGCUUCAACAUAAAUGGUAAAGAGGAGAAGUUCAACUUCCGGUCCAAGAAGGAGCAAUGCUCCAUAAUCAAGAUCAAGUACGGGCCGAAACCACAAGGCAUCAAAGAAGUUAAAGUGAUGCCUCACAAGAUGAUCAUCCUCAUCCCAUUCAUAAAAGCCUUCAUGAAGAAGGAAGAGCAAAGAAUGGACAAGAGGUCGAGGUUAUGGAAAAACUAGACCCCAAAGUCCAAGAAGAAACAAGUAUCGGAUUUAUAAGCUCGGCAAUCCACCAGGGGGUUACCCAAGUGGUUGAUUUGUAGGUGAGAGCGGUUGCGAAACCAAGAACUUGAAGUUAAUCACAAGAACACGAGUGACACAAGGGUUUUAGACAGGUUCGGGUCUCCAGUAAUACCCUACGUCCUGUGUUUUGGUGGUUUGUAUUGCUUGAGAGUUGAUGGGGAUUCUUGGGAUUGGAUUCGUUGGGUUGCCUCGGGAGGCUCCCUUGGCUGCCUUAUAUAGGCUGACAACCAAGAGUUACAAGUCAGUUUGAAUUUAAUCUACUCGGUAGUUACAUGGAAAGUAAUCUGAGUCGGACUACAAUAUGUGAUCUAUGAUAUCCGGGAAGAUUUAGACUAUCUUGUUACCUUGACGUGUACUCCAAGUAACUUCAUGUCCUUAGCCUGCACGCCCUGGUUGGGCAGGCCCACUUGCCAGGACCGGUCAGUAUCUUGGUCGGUAGGGACCCAUGGGUUAUCAUAUCCCUUAAGCCCCUAAGCGAUGUGUAGGUGAACAGGAACUUGAGGUCAUCACAGCAAAGCUUGAAAUGAAGUUGGCUGAAGCUGCGAUGGCGUCAUGGUAGCAGAGAGGCUGCACAGUGCUCAAAAUAGAAGAAAAUCUGAGCGAACGUAGAGCCAACGCGCAGAGCGAAGACGAGUGCCGAGUUGAUGGAUGCUGGCAUCCAGCAGGUCAAAGCGAAGGUUACAGAGGGUGUCGCAAGAUGCACUCCAGAGGAGUAGCCCGCAAGCAUUGAAGCGAUUAUAAUAAUCGGUCCAAUGGUCAAAGAAUAAGAAAUUACCCCUUGAAGUAGAUCCCAGUGCCCGAGGAUGAGGAUAGAUGCAGACACGGAAGCUUGCCGACCAAAAAUACACGUCCAAAUCUCUGGAGAUAAGGACUCGUGCAAUGAUAGAUAAGUGACAAAAAAUGCCUGCUCACGGGAGUAUUGCACCAUCUGAAUAGCGUCAGGAUUCUCGUCAGUACUUGAAGAUCAGUCUGACCAUCACGUGAACACCGUAGAGCCGUAUUGGCAUGGGAAAGCCUUGUCGUGAACCCUCACGAGUACACUGUAGCAAUUUGGAUGUUAUCUUGUGAUCUGGCUAUAAAUAGACCAACGUUCAACUCAAAAAGUCAUGGCCCAAAUAAUAGCACUUGUAGGCUUGAAGCUUGUAGUUUUUAAUAGGAGUAACACCUGCUCGGAAGCCUGAUGCUAGAAGAAUUCUCGUGAAGCAAACCCAGAUGCUCCUUCCCUUCACAGUCUCUUUGAUGAAGGCGAGAGGUAACGAUGCUAGAAGAAUCCUCGUGAUGAGGCUGUAUCAUGAACCCCAUCACUUUGUCCAGGACACUGCUAGGGAAGUGUUUCGCGCAGCUUUCUUAUAUUGAGGUUUUUUCUUUUUCUGCAUUGUUUCUUAUCCUGAGGUGUCAGAUAUCCUAGAGCUAUUCACAGUCACUUGUAAUAUGUGUUGCCAGUAAUCUUUCCAGGGAAAGGAAUUGUAGCUGAGCGAAAAAAUGUUCGUGCAUCUGGUGUUGGGGAUUUAUGGGGCCACGGAGGCAUACUGACAUGAAACUAGUCGUCUAGUCCCCGAGGACGAGGACUAGCAGAGCUGCAUAGGCACACUGAGUAGAAUUAGAUGCCCAGCCCCUCACCAAGUAGAAUUAGGUGCCCAACCCUUGAGGAUAAGGUUUGGCAGAGCCACGGAGGUAUGCCGACCAGAAUUAGGCACCCAGCCCCCGAGAACAAGGGCUAGCGGAGCCACGGAGGCAUGCCAACAAGAAUUAGGAACCUAGCCCCCGAGGAUGAGGGCUAGUGGAGCCAUGAAGGCACGCCGACCAGAAUUAGGUGCCCAUCCCCUGAGAUCGAGGACUGGCAGAGCCACGGAGGCACGCCGAGUAAGAUUAGGUGCCUAGCCCCCAAGGUCGAGGACUGGUGGAGCCGCAGAGGUACCCCGACCAAAAUUAAGUGCCCAGCCCCUGAGGACGAGGACUGGUGGAGCCGUGGAGGUACGCCGACUAGAAUUAGGCACGUAACCCCCAAGGACGAGGACUGACAGAGCCACGGAGGCACGCCGACCAGAAUUAGGCGUCCAACCCCUGAGGUCGAGGACUCGCGGAGCCACGGAGGCACGCCAACCAAAAUUAGGCACCCAACCCCCAAGGACGAGGACUGGUAGAGCCACGGAGGCAUGUCGUUAAGAGCGCAACAAAAAACCUGCAAUUUUCUCCUGGCACGUUGCGCCGCGAUAACGGGAGGGCCGCAAUUUCCAUCCGUAGGUUACGCCGUCACCCCCCUCAAAAGCACAAGGGGUCACAGAGCCAUUUCACUUCUAUCUUGAACACUCUCAGUGCUGCCGCCUCAAGCCCACUAAGCACUUUGCUACUGUGCUUGCAAACCCUAGGCUGCAUUGCCGCAACCUUUAUUCCACUCGCGCACACGCCGCUGACGCCGCUUGAGUCGCCGUCACCCGAGCCGCCGCGCCGCCGUAUGCGCAACAAGACCCUAGUUAUUUUUAGAUCUAAAUCUCAAGGCAUUGAGCUCAAAGAAAUGGCGCAAUCCAAUGCCCCGGAGCCUUCUUCUAUCUAGAUGAAGUCCUUGAUGAUGCAGGAGCGCAUCCAAGCCCUCGUCAACCUAGGCUUCCUCGACCCGCAGGCACUGCUGGAGUGGAAGCCCACCGCCAGCCAAGAAUUCCCAUCAAAGGACACGGCGGAGAUGGUGGUGUUCGCGGAAUUCUUCGAGUGCGGAUUUAGGAUCCCGAUAGGAGACUUCUUCCACGGUCUUCUCCACUACUAUAAGAUUGAACUGGUACAUCUGAAUCCAAACUCAAUCUUGGAUAUUUCUAUUUUCAUCCAUCUGUGUGAAGCGUACUUGGGCAUCCUCCCACAUUUUCAUCUGUGGUGCUACUUGUACCAAUUGAAACCCGUGAUUAGUAAGGGGGAAAAAGCCCGGGUUGUUGGGGGUUGUGGAUUCUCGCUGCGGCCCAAGAAAGUGCAGGAGUAUUUUGAUCUGCAGUUGAGGGAGUCCGACAAGGGGUGCACAGCGAGUGGUUCCUUGUCGCGAAUCAGCAUCCCAAGCUGCCACCGCGCAUAGGGUACGGGCCAAUGUCUACGCCCGAGUGGUCAAAUCAGCCCACCUCGGAGGAGCAGGUCCAAGUGGAUGAAUUGCUGGAAAAGAUCGCCGACUUGAAGACUCGGGGACUGACAACCGGAGCCAUCAGUAUCAACUUCUAUCAAAGGGUGACACAACCGAUCGAGUACCGCGUGCACCCAUCGUAUGAGUACUUGGGGCUAGAUUAUCCGACCCGAGAGGUCCGUAGCAAGGUGCCAAACUCAAAGGUCAUCGACAGGGUGGUUGAGUUCUUCAAGGGUCAUAUCAGUAACAGGGACAUCCCCAAAACUUUCUCAUUAAAGAGGUCGUCGCCCACCCCGGUAAGAUUGUCAUCGACACUUACUUCAUGCACUAAAUUGUGGCGGAGCACCUCGGAUUAACUUAGCUAAAGCACAGUUAAGUUGCCUUAACACUUGAAUCACAUGCUUUAAUCAAGUUAAUUCGACGAUCCGUCGGAUUUCAUCCGAUAAAACCACUUAGAUAGGACCGAGUUAGCAUAGCUCACACGAAGGUGAGUGGUGCCAGAGAAUACAAUAGACUAAAGAAACAGUUCAACGAUUUAAUACACACUGGUUCAAAAAUCAGAGUUUUACAGGAUUCCAAAAGCAGCGGAAAGAUAAAAUAAUGGAAGCUAGCGCCGGGGUCGGAUGUCCAUGAUGAGGCCGAUCAAGACAUCAAUGAUCCCUCUCCUCGCCGUCCGAGGAGGGAUCCCACUCGACCGUCCACCCAGGAGGAAGCUGGGGCGGCCAAGUGCCAGCAGCAGCACACUCAGAAGCUUCAACUUCACCUGAAAAGAGAUGCCACAACAAGGCUGAGCUUCUAAACUCAACAAGACUUAACCGACCGGCGGAAAAACUACUCCACCACUUCUAGACAUGCAAGGCUCUUUGGCUGAGGAGUUUGUUUUGCCAAAAGCAACUAUACUAGGUCCUCACUUUCAAUAUUUUAGCUCCGGUUCUAAGUUCAUUAACCAGCCUAUUUUCACCACUUAUGCUAAGCAAACACAGUUCCAAACAGUAUGUAUAUAUAACUCAAACAUCAAGUUCAUAUCAUCCUCAUGUUCCAUAUUUACUCAGUGUAGCAUAGCGAUCAAGCAGUCUCAAACUAUGAGAGGUAGACGAAUUGAUUCGAGUUCUUAACUAUGCAUGGCAAACCUAAUCUCACGACAUCCGCGCACCACCGAGGGUCGCUUCCUGUGUCGGCCGUCCCCAUCAAUCCCCUGACCCGUGUCGGGCCCACUUCUCUUGGUGCAAUUUUCCACAGACCCGGCCUCUGCCGUUCUGUGACCACACUUGCCACCACAUGCGGCCGCAGGGGAAAACUCUGUUCCAAAGAUAGUGGAUCGAACCGCUCACGUCCAGGUUCAAUCAGGUACUAGGCGUCCCCAUCCCAUACUAGGUAUGAGAUUAGUACUUUCAAACACUUGAUCACGAACACCACCACUGUCAUACCUUAAACAGGUUCAAGUAGACGGACGGGGCAAUCCACCGACCACCAAAAGAGUUCACCAGGCCUUACCCCGUCCACCAUCCUUAUAGUUGUAACCAGAAGGAGAACAACCAACUCCUAUAACUCGCGAGUGAUAGGAAAUCACUCAACUUUUACCAAGUCCUAUUAAGCAUUGUAACUACUCCAACUUAUUAGACUAGUGUUCAGAUCAAGGGAACUAAGUCAUGCAUCUAUGGUUUCAAACAACUCCUAUAACGUAAAUGCACAUACAUACGAAGGAAGGCAUGUGCAAGUUUAGAAAGUUGGGGUCAUACUCCGGGGCUUGCCUUCGAGCGGGGCGGAGUCAAACUGGUCUCCUGCGGGUUCUGCUUCAGCUCUUGCGGUCGGCGGCUCAGUUACUACUCCGUCUUCUUGCACCGGAUGCAGCUCGUAGGUGCCGUCGGCGAGAUUUAGUUCUACACGGAAGUGCAAAUGCAGGGGUUAAACAUUUAGUCGGUUAUUUCAACAACACUUGCACGCCUUAGCUCAGAAACUUGUAGCAAAGCUACAGGAAAAGGUGUGGAAGUCCAAGCUUCAGUUGAUAGAGAACAAGACAAAAAGGGUCAGGUUGGGAUAAACUUAUAAUCUGACCCUCAGACCUAAGGAAUAAUUGUACCGGGGUCCUCAGACUUAACACAGAGAAGUCCUCGAAAUUUUACACAGAUACCCUCGGGUCAAGGAAAAAGAUACAGCUGAGUCCUCGGGCGAAGCGGACAAGGGUCGGCGAAACAGACAGGGUCGGGCAAGACGGAAAAAGGGGUCGGGCGAACCGGAAAAAGGGGUCAGCAGCUUACCGUUAGGCCUACCGAUGAAGUCUUGGGGUCGGGAAGGAAUAGACUCAGGCGGAAGGACUAAGGCGCUAAGGUUUGGAUGGCGGCGAGGUUCGACGGUGCUCCGGCGGUGGCGGUGCUUCUUGUCAACAACAAGCAAGCUCUAGUACCGUGCGGAGGAAACAGGCAGCUGGCGGGUUGGAAAGAAUGGGUUUGAGUGGAGAGGGGAAGUUCCUUAAGAGCUUAAGCGGUAGCGCUCAAGUGCGAGCAGAGUAUGGUGCGGCGAGGUAGCGAUGGCGAAGGAAACUCCAGUAGGGGCUCUAGUACUCCCUUUUAUAGCUGCGCGGAAGAGAAAGAGUUCAAGCAGCGCGAAGAUUAGGUCAAAAGGAUGGAGUGCUCUAUCAUGGCGGCGAUUGGGCGGCACCUCCAUUAGCCGACGAAGCAGAGCUUCGGGGACAGGGUCUUUGGUCAUUGGGCACUGGAGACAAGGCCGGCGCAGGCGUGGUUUUGCCGGGAUGAAGGGUUGGCAAGGGCGAGCACGGUCUGGUCGCGUCAAGCGGUGGAUUGGGUGCGGCAACUCGACUAGCGUGUGACAGGAAGGAAGGAAGGUAGGGGCACGGCAGGCAAGGUCGCUGUAGAUAAGGUGACAGGGCGAGCGGCGACGCUAGCAAGCGCAGAUCAGCAGCUUGCCGGGGCACGUUACUGGCGAGGCGGAAAAAGGAGUUGUCUCUACCGGAGCCGUGGUUGGCGAGGGCGGUAUCAUCGUGGAGCGCGCAUGUGGGCAGCACGACUGUGGGGGAGAUGGAAAAGCCGGAAGGCAUCGGGGCGCGCGGCCGGGGAUCCAGGCGAGAUGAUGGGUGCGGGCGGCGAGGCGGUCUGGCGCGGCAGUGGCCAAUCCUCUGUCGCAGCGGUGACAGGGUGCCUUGGCGUGGAAAGGGCUGCAAGGGCUUCCGCACGCGAUUGGGAAGGAGGCGCGCUGAUCUAUCUUGUCACGGCCGGUGACUGGGUGAGGCGGCGCUCGUCGGGGAGGUUGAGCCAGGCAGCGGAGAAGCUCUGAAGCGGAGCGCACGCGGGCUCUGGCGCGUCUGACUCAAGAGAUCCGUGGGAUCUGGUUUUUGGGUCCACCAUUCAGUCUCUGGCUCUCCCACAGCUCCAAGAUUUGGAGGAACACGGGUUUCAGGACUUAGAGAAGAGCUGUCGUUUGCUCGGUUGGUGCGGUUUUGUUGGGUUUUUAGGGGUCGGACCGAUGGAAACUGCAGAUUUGGGGUUUGUCUUGAGAUUAACUUGGCUAAUUAAACCAAGGUUGUUACAUAUAUAUACUUAUGAUGUUUCUGAAUGAGGUUAUGACUUGAUCAGAAUGAUGCAUUUGCGUACUUUUGCCCAGCGCCAUUUGCCUGGUGGGGCUGAAAUGAGACCUCACAAGAUUUGCCCAACUGGCGUGCCCAUUGUGCCGCCCACCGAACUUCAGUGGCAAUCGAUGUCUUCUUUUGGGUCGGAUGAGGAUGUGAUGAAGGGAGUCAGCCAAGCCUCAGAUGUUAUACCAGCGAGGCAUCGGACAUGGCAAGCCAUGCGCAAGCAGCCCACCUCCAAAUUGUAGAAGUCGAGCUUCACGAAGAGGAAGAUGAUCAGCAAGAAGGGGAAGGAGAAGGAGAAGGCUGCCCCGAGCAUGACCUCCACCCCCAAAUCGGUUAGUGAAGUGGAGUUCGAGACACUAAGCGCGCUGGCAAAGAAGAGGAAGUCGGAUCUCUAGGAGACCACCGCGGCUGACGCAGCGCGCGUCAAGGAGGCGCUGAAGGUGAAGAUCUGUGGCGCCGCAACAUGGUGAAGUCGGAGCUCUAGGAGACCACCGCGGCUGACACCGGAGAAGUUGCAUCAACUCCAGCGUCGCACCAAGGUGAAGCCGGCUCUAGGGUUGCAAACGUCACCAUGGUCCACCUCGAGGUCAAGAAUAAGGCUGAUGAGGAGGCCAGAGCCGAGCCUCAGCAAUGGGGGCUGCCGAAGGAUGACCCGCCGCCAGAGAGGUCCACCGAGGAGAUUGACCUUGGUGUGAUUCAUGAAGAGUUUGACCCCGAGGACUUCUCUGACACGGAUGUGGCUGAUGACACAGCACGCGAUAAAGAAGACCUUUAGAAGUUGUGAAAAAUGUCCCUGGACACUGGCGAGUUGUUAUUUGUAAGUGCAUUUGCCAACUUAAGUUUAAAUCCAAGUUUCCUUGCAGAACUAAAUGUUAAAGUGUAAACAGAAUCUAGCCUCCCGUGCACGGAAGAGGAGGAAAGGGAUUCGACGGGCUGAGUGUUAUCGUUUGAAGGUGGAGCACCUUGAAGCUGAGCUCCAGAAGGCCAAAGAGGAUGCCGCCAACCAGCUUCGGCAAUGGAACCUAGAGAAGGGUGUGCUAGCUGUGCACAUGAAGGGUCUGCUGUGUGGACCUAUUUUAAUCAAUUUUGUCCUUACAACCUUGAUGCUGAAGUGAGCCUGUUUGGGUACGCAGAUGCCGCGAUGAAGGAGCAAAGACUAUAGCGGUACCUCAAGGAGUCUGAGGACUCUAAUGCAUGCCUUCAGCAAGAGCAUGACACGGUGCUCAAGUGUGAGUAUGCGGUAUCACAAAAGCUGGCCUGUGAAGCCAAAGCACGCAAGGAAACCAAGCGCUGCUUAGAAGUUGUUGUAAGUAAACUUCAGAAUGACCAACGUGUAAUUGCAGGGCUAGAGGUAGAGCUGGAGGAGCUGCGGAAGACGGCCUGCUAUGUGAUGGACAUGGUCCAACCAAAUGCUGACCCAGCCGUGCCAACACCACUGCUGGAUCGCCUCAAGGCCGCACUAGGUCGGCUCAAGGCACUGUUGAAAGACACUGUAGUAGAAUGCGUUAAGAACACCUUCACUCUUGUGGCAUCACACUUCCCGAAGCUAGCCUUGGAGCGCGCUGCGACAAGAGUUGCGGCCGACUUCAACACAGACUUGAUUCCAGAGGUGGCUGACCAGUACCACGAUGUUGCAGAGAGCAUUGUAAAUGACUUCGACCUGUAGGAAGAAACUUUAAGAUGUAUCAAACUGUGCGUUGAAAUGUUUUAAAUUAAUAUUCUUAAUCAUAUGUGGUGAAAGAAAACUCCAUCCCUCCCUUGGUGUAUACGACAGGACAGCGUGUAGCUAAGGCCUAUAGCUGCUAAGCGCCUAGCCUCGCCUGACCAGCGUCCCGUUGAGAUUGGAUCUUGAGCUUGUAGGAGGGGUGAACGCGAGGUUGUCUAGGUUUUGCCAGCUAGGACACUGACCACACGAGUUAGUCAUAUAACCUCGAGAGGGGGAGGAGAAAAAUGCAGGACCCAGAGGUUGGCACCUGGGGGAAGCUCUCGAGCAUUUGAGUGAGCGGGCUGUUGAAUAGGUCGGACAACCCCCGAGCGUUAGAGAUAGCUCGGCAAAGAGAACAGUAAGGCAGUAGGUACGUGAAAGAACCACAGAGGUCUUAUUUAUUGAAUAUAAAGGGGAAACAAGUUACAUAGCUUUAUAGAUCUAGGGGUAGAAGCAUCGUAGAUGCUCGAUGUUCCACGGAUUAGGGACGCUGGAGCCGUCUGCCCAUUGGAGUCGGUAGGUGCCUAGCUGGAUGCUUCUUUGAUGAUGAAGGAGCCCUCCCAGGGGGUGGCCAACUUGUGCAUGUCCAAUGUUGAAGGAGUGUUCCCUGACAUUCCGAUCAUGGUAGCGUCGUAUCUGCUGCUCAUGGCAUGCAUGCUGAAUGAGGGCUGCCACAUGAUGCUCUUCAAGGCUGUCGAUGUCAUUUUGCCGAGAUGUCAUUCUGCCAACUUUUUUCUGCCUCGCCUUCCUCAUAGUACUAGAUGUGUGGGGCGCCAAAGGCCACGUUUGAUGGUAGGACGGCUUCUAAGCCGUAUACCAUAAAGAAAGGGGUGUAGCCAAUAGCCCGACUCUUUUGUAUUUGUAGGCCCCUGAUGACAUGGGGUAGCUUGCAUAGCCACUUGGUGGCGUAUUUGGAUGCGUCAUCGAAGGUGCACGACUUGAGGUUGCAGUUUGCACGUUCGACCUGACCGUUGCAGCGUGGGUGCGCUACUAAGGAGUAGUACACGUCGAUGAGGUUGUCUUGGCAGAAAUCCCAGAACUCGGAGCCUGUGAAUUGUGCACCAAGGUCGGUAAUGAUCCUGUUGGGCACUCCAAAGUGGUGCAUGAUUUCCUCCACAAACUAAGUGGCUUUAGCCAACUCAAUGCUAGUGAUAGCCUUGACCUCGAUCCACUUGGUGAAUUUAUCGACUGCCACGAAGAUAUGUGUGUAGCCGCCCGGAGUGGUUUUGAAGGGUCCGACCAUGUCUAGCCCCCAGCAUGCAAAAGGCUAGGAUUGUGGGAGGUGCGUAGGGCCUAAGCCAGAAGGUGUUGCUACGUGGAGAAGAACUUACAUCCCUUGCACCUUUGGAUGAGGUCCUUUGCAUCGACUACCACUGUUGGCCAGUAGAAACCUGAGCGAAAAUCUUUGUUGACCAAAGUCCUCGAGGUGGCAUGGUUGCCGCACAUCAUGGAUUUCAUGCAGGAGUUCAAUGCCCUCACUGUGUAGAAUGCACUUCAUCAAGAUCCCUCUAGAUGCAGCUUUCCUGUAGAGCUCCUUGCCGACGACAAUGUAGUUUGCACUGCACUGAGCUAAUUUUUCAUGCUCUAUCUUAUCUUCUGGUGCCAUCUGGUUGGUGAUCGAGGCUGUGAAGGGGGCCCGCUAGUCUUCUUCUACCUCAAUCAUCAUGACGUCAGUGCAUUUUGGGUCGGCCGGAGCAUGAGCGCCAACAUCGUUGACUUGGUUCGGGUCCAAGAUUUUGAUGGAAGGUUUUUGGAGAUCCUGUACGAAUACACUGGUCGGAACUUGUGCGUGUUAGGAGCCAAGCUUGGACAGGAUAUCAGCGAUGACACUGUGGUCCCUAGGGACAUGAUGGAUUACAAGACCAUCAAAGUGAGCCUCAAGCUUGCGGAUUUCCAUGCAGUAAGCGUCCCUGGAUUCCUUGGUGCAAUUCCAAGUUUUAUUGACUUUCUCAAUGACAACCUUGGAGUCGCCAUAAGCAAGGAUGCGCUUGAUUCCUAGAGAAAUAGCAAUGCAUAAGCCAUAGAUGAGGGCUUCGUACUCGGUGCCAUUCUUGGUGGCCAUAUAGUGGAUCUAGAGCACAUACUUGAGCUGCUCACCUUUGGGGGAUAUGAAUAGGACUCCUGCACUGGCUCCUUCAAGGUUAAGGACACUGUGAAAGUACAUGGUCCAGUGUUCUGGCUCCUUCAAGGUUAAGGACACUGUCAAAGUACAUGGUCCAGUGUUCUAGCCUCUUCAGGGAAGGUGGCUUCUGGAUCUCCAUCCACUCAGCCACAAAGUCCGCCAAGAUCUGCGACUUGAUCGCAUGACGUCGGCAGAAAUUGAGGUUGAACUCGCCGAGCUCCAUAGAACACUUGGCAACUCGGCUGUUGACAUCUUUGUUGUGGAGGAUUUUUUGCCGAUGAGGUAUGAUGACACCAGCCAAAUCUUGUUCACUUGAAAGUAGUGCCGCAGCUUUCUUGAGGAGAUCAGAACUGUGUAGAGCAUUUUCUGAACCUGCAUGUAGCGGGUCUUGGAGUCGCUAAGGACUUUGGUUAUGUAAUACACCAGGCGUUGCACCACGUGAGCAUGGUCGGGCUCUUGGCGCUCCACAACUAGCACGGUGCUGACAACAUGCGUCGUUGUAGAGAUGUAGAGGUAUAGAGUUUCUUGGUUGGUCGGGGCAGUCAUGACGGGAGGAGUGGUGAGGAAAGCCUUGAGCUCUUCGAGUGCCUUGCUGGCCUCGUCGUCCUACUCAAAUUUGUCCACCUUUUUGAGGAGCUUGAAGAAGGGCAGAUCUUUUUCUCCAAGUUUGCUGAUGAAGUGGCUAAGGGCCGCCAUCAUGCCAGUAAGCUUCAUGACGUCCUUCUUGUUAGAUGGUUUCGCCAUGUUUCAGAUUGCAUCCACCUUGACUGGGUUGGCCUCGAUGCCUUACUAGCUGACCAUGAAGCCCAUGAGCUUUCCAGACGGGACACCGAAGACACACUUGUCGUGGUUGAGUUUCCAGCAGUAAGCCUAGAGGCUGUUGAAGGUCUUUGCGAGGUCGGCUAUGAAGCUUUCCUCAUCCUUUGUCUUGACAACAACAUCGUCGACGUAAGCCUCGACGUUCCUGUGUAGCUAUGUCACGAGGCAACCCUGGAUUGCCUUCUGGUAGGUGGCACCAGCGUUUUCCAGCCCAAAGGUCAUGGUGUUGUAGCAGUAGAUGCCAAAGGGUGUUAUGAACGCCAUCUUGUUUUGGUCGGCAACAUUAAGGGCAAUCUGGUGAUAGCUCAAGUAGUAGUCAAGGAAGUAGAACAGGAUGCUCUCUGCCAUAGAGUCGAUGAUUUGGUCAAUGUGCGGAAGAGGGAAGGAGUCCUUAGAGCAGUGCUUGUUCAGGAUGGUGUAAUCAAUGCACAUUCUCCAUUCAUCGGUUUUGUUUCUUACAAGGAUGGAGUUUGCUAACUAGUCGGGAUGCUUACAUUCAUGGAUGAAUCUGGCGGCUAGGAGCUUAUUUAAUUCUACCCUAAUGGCCUCCUUGCAAUCUUGGGCGAAGCGAUGGAGUGUUUGCUUGACUGGCCGUGCAGUCUUGCUCAAGUCCAAGGAGUGCUCAGCUAGCUCCUUGGGGACACCGGGUAUAUCGGAUGGCUUCCACGUGAAUAUCUCCGAGUUUUCUCAGAGAAAACUGGUGAGCACGAGUUCCUAUUUCUCUGAGAGAUCAGCCCCUAUGAGGGCCGUCUUGGUCGGGUCUUCUAGGCCGAGGCAGAUCUUCUUGACCUGGGAUCGGGUUGCAGCGCUGUGGACAUCGGCUCUGUCUCAGGGAUCGUUAGCUGGUCCUUGCUCAUUUUCAGGGCCUCGGCUACCAUGGCUAUGGCCUUAGCUGAUAACUCUAGGGCUUCUACAAGCUAAACUGCCUCAUUGUCGCAUCUGUAUGAUGUCUCUACAUCGCCGUAGAUGGAGAGGACUCCGUUUGGGGCCGGCAUCUUGAGGACGAGGUAGGUGUGGUACGGGAUUGCCAUGAACCUCACUAGCAUGGUCCUACCAAGGAUGUCAUGGUAGGAAGUCUUGAAGUUCGCUACCUCAAAUGUGAGGUGCUCCGUGCGGUAGUUUGCUUGUGUGCCAAAGGUGACCAGCAAAACAACGUGGCCAAUCGGGUAGGACCCUUUGCUGGGGAUGAUGUGUUGGAGGUAUGCUCUAGAGGCAAUCAUAGAGAUGAUGACAUUCCAUUGUAUCCAUGUUUUAUAUUGUGUUCCUUGAGUAUCCAUUAAAGGCUACUUGAAUUGAUUUACAAUUAUGUGAAUUGUAUGUGAAACUCUUUACUUGUAUGAUUAUUCUAAAAGUUGUCCCUAAUCAGAGUUCAUGUGAGGACACACAUGAAUAUUAGACUAGCACAUGUAUUAGUUGAUGACUAUGUUUCACAAGUCAUGGAUAUGGAGAUGUCAAACUAAUAAUGUGGGCACGUGUAGAGACAUGUGCUAGGACCGACCCAACGCGAGUUACAAAGUUCUCUCUUUACACAACGUGUACGCUUUGUCCUUAGACAUGAGAUUGUCGCAGUACUCAAGAUGUGGAUCGACUUACUUAGGGACCAUCAAAUGCUAAACCAUAACUGGGUAGUUAUAAAGGUAGCUUUCGGGUUUUUCAAGAAGCAUGCUGUGAGGCAUGGUCAGUCAAGAUGGAAUUUGCCCCUCUCUAUUUGAGAGAGAUAUCUCUUGGCCCCUCGAGUGAUCGGAUCCGGAAAUGCAUGGCCAUGCUAUGUGAGGUUAAGAGUUAACCUAGAAAGGGAUUCCGAAUCGCAGCAUCGAGAAAGAGUGGUCGGCUUGGAGCUAGACCAAAUAUUGUGAGGCAAAGGGAAUAGCAUGUACGUGAUAUUGUGAUGGUUCGUCUGAUAUGAUCUUCGUGUGCGUAUAGGAGUUGGCAUGUCUUGCUAGAGGCCGCUACCAACUAUUGGGCGAGUAGGAGUACUCGUGCCAUGUCUAUACGUAUACGAACCUAUAGGGUCACACACUUAAAGGGCUGGAAGCCUAAUAAGGAUUUGAUCCAAAUUGGACCAGGUUUAGGAGUACUAAUGGGCCUUGGACCCAGAGGCCCAUUAGGAACCCCUAUAUAUUGAGGGGUGGGGGUGCCCUAGGGUUUACCCCUUUUUGGCCGAACCACAGUUGCGCCCCUUCCCGCGCCCUCGCCUUUGUUGCAACGCGCAGACCUAGCAAUCCGGCUUGCGACGCUUCCUCCCCGCAUGUGUGGAUACCUUGGAGGUGUUGCAUCUGCAGCACUUGGACGAGCCGCCGCAUGAGAGCUCCGACGAGGAACCUGAUGAGCCGAUGAGGAACCUGACAAGCCAGCGCACGAGGAGGACGUCGUUACACGUGGAUGAGCUGCUGAGGAGCUGCUCGAUGUCAACGUGUUCGACUACACUGUGUCGACAUGUGAUUGACUUCGCUGCCCUGACACGUUUCUACAACUUCUGCACCUGUGCGUCGAGUGGUAAUCCCGUGAUCUAUAACAGCAGUUAUUCCUGGUUUACACGGUAAAUUUUUUUUGUUUUGUACUAGCAUAGCCUACCUCGUAUCCCAACAUGAUGCUGUAGAAGGGCUCUUCAUAGGGCUAGAGUCACUCGAAGUCAAAGUCCAUGCACUUCAAGGUCUCAGUGAAGGUGAUGUUGAGUUUGUUACCACUGUCAAUCAGCACCUUGGGGAGUAGCGCCCGGUCUAUGGUCGGGCAAACCACCAGCAGGUAGGAACCGGGAUCUGGGAUGUGGACCCAUCGAUCUUUCUUGGAGAAGGUUAUAGAUUGCUCUGACCAGCGUAGAUACUGGAUUGGCUGCAUGAAGACAAAGUGCACGUCUCACUGGUAUAGCUUCUGUUGGCAGUUGCUGCAAAAAGCGUUGUGGCCACCCACGAUGAUGUUGACUUGGCGCUCCGGUCGCUGGAAACCCCCAUUCUAGUCAGCACCGGGCCGUGGGACAUCUUGAUGUGGCUGGUCGCAGCACUCCUCUCGGUUAUGGUCGUCACAGUCAUCGCGCCUGUAGUUGUCGCGGUCGUCGUUGUAGUGGCUGUCGCGACGGCGAUCGUCGCGGUCGUUGCGGUCAUCGCGGCGUUGGUACUCGCGUCUGUUGUCAUCUUGGCGGUAGUCGGUGCAGUGGGGCCGCUUGUACUCCACCGGGGUGCCGAGCUCUUUCUUCAGGACUAUGCAAUCCCGAAGAGUGUGACGUGUGUCCUUGUGGAAGGGUCAUGGAGCGCUAAGGGUUUCGUCGAAUUCUUCCCGGUUAAAGGUGGUCAGUCUAACAGGGUCGGUCUCAGCAGCAAGGACCUCUUGGGCCCUUUUUUGAAGUCAGGACUCCAGACGUGCUUGGGUUUCAUUAUGGAUCGGCUGGUCGUAGUCAUCGCCUAGACAGUGCUUGACAUUCUGGAAUUGAACUUUCGCCGCCUCUUCAAUGUCUGCUUGCUUGUUGACAACUUCCAUCUUGGGGGUAGCCUCGUACAUCUUGCAGAACUCGACCGUCUUGGGGGCAGUCUCGUACAUCUUGCAGAACAUUGUGCAGUUCAUCAGGCUGGAACGGAAGUACAUAAUGAUAUCACGAUUUUCAACACUGGCCAGCCUGUUGUGGUUCUCGAAGAAGCGGUUGGCGUACUCCCGGAUGGUUUCGCAUAUCCUAUGGCGGACUUGGCCAAGUUUCUCCAUGUUGCCGGGCCUAUUAUAGGUAGCUUGGUAGUUUUGGGUGAAAGCUCUAGCGAGCUGCCCCAAUUGUCGAUGCUGUUCCAGGGAGAUUCUCCAGCCACAGGAGCAGAGCGGGACCCAUCACCACCGGGAAAUAGGCAGCCAUCUAGUCGUAGUUGCUGUUGGUGGCUUUCACCGCGAUGCCGUAUGUCUUGACCCGAUGGUGGGGUCAGAGCAACCAUCAUACUUUUCGUUGAUGGCCAGCUUGAAUAUGACUAGCCAGUCAACAGCCUUGAGGCUUGGAGUGAAGACGGCAAAGCCAUCGAUCGCCGUGUCAUCAUCUUCGUCAUCGAGGUAGUACUGGAUGGGCCGAGCUAGCCCUGGGGCGUCCGUGGUAGUCAUGCCUAGGUGGGUUGUAGGCGUUUUCAGGGGCGCUGUACAUGUAGUCAUAGUCAGCGUGGCAAUGCAUCUCAUCUUCUUGGCGACGGCGGUCCUCGCGCUCGGCGUUGCAGUUAGGCACAAGAGCGCCAUAGUCGUGAUUAUACUCAGUGUGGUGGUGGAGCUCGGCUUCUUCACGCUCAUGGUGGUGGGUGUUGAGGUCUAGGCGAAUAUCGAGGUGCUGAUGGAGGUCACACAACUCAUCACAUAGAUCAUGUUGCUAUCCAGGUCGGACAUGGUCCUCAUCAUCGCCUCUCCUGCCUUAGGGUGGUUGUUGUCGUUGUUGUGCUGAUGGCCAUUGUUGACGUUGCCAUUGAUAGGAGGGUUGGUGUUGUUCUUGGCGGGUGGGUUGGCAUCCUGAUCCACCAUUUCUUCACGGAUUGGCUCCAUUCGACCUCCCACGCGGUUACCUCCUCGAUGGUCAGAUCUGCUAUGCCCGGAUUAGCUCCAAGAGUGUCGGGUAGCUGUGGACCGAGAAUGUGCGGGUCGGUUAUUGAUCUGCUCCUCGAUCGGGGUGUUGGUGACUUGGAGUCACGCAUAGAUCCGUCGGAUUUGGUCCGAAUCUAGAAGAUUUUCCAGGUCGGCGAAGGCAGCCCCCAGGUUGGCUAGGGGUGUAGCGAAGAUGUUGUGGCCGGCCUGCUCGAGAUCGGCUAAUAGAUUGUGGGUGUGUACAGGGCUUCUACAUCUGUCCUGAGCAUUGCCUUGUUCAGCGUUGUCACGAUCAUUGCGCAGCUGUUGAUGCUGGUCUCCUGUUGCAUCUGCGUUAGCAACAGGUUGCUACUAGGCAUUGGCUUGCAUUUGUUGGCGCUGUGCUGCACAGUUCUGAUUCCUGGCGUUACGGCCUUCUUCUUGAGAUUCUGUUUCCCAUCAUGGGGUGGCUCAUCAGAAGAGACCAUGAAAGCUUCGCGAUCGGGUGUGAAGGAGUUACUCUCAUCAUUGCUUCCAUAGUGAUUUGGCGUCAGGAUUAUGCAAGACACCUGGAAUUCACCACGAUCUCGAAACUGGGUGGGUUCGAGCAGAUCACUAGAUUGGAUCUGAAAAACCUGGUGAAACUUAGUGGAGUACUCGGCAACCGAGUUCCACAGACCAAAGGGGACGCGAGACGGACCCCGCUGACCUUAUUGAGCAUAGCGCCACCUCAGACAGAUCUAUACACUCAGCAAUGGUGCUGCUGAUGCGAUCUAGCCCUGCGGUCAGGCCGGAGGGCAUGGGUGGGCGGGUGAUGGCGAGUAGAUCUAGAACCCUCUCAGAGAGAGAGAGAGAGAGAGAGAGUUCGCUAACUUGCUGGGCAAGCGGCAUGAUGAUCCUUGGUUAGAGAACUUGUCCCGUCGGGGUAGAUUUGGCGGAAGUCGAGCUGGCGGUGGACAUCGAGUCGACGAAAGAUGUCGAGUCAACGAGAGAAGUAAUCGGAUCGGAAUCCGUUGGCAUGGUCCCAAAGAGAAUCUAGAUUAGCUUGGUGAGGAAGUCCUUCAUGCUCUCGGGAAAAACAACACCGGGACGGGAUGCCAUCGAGGUCGCGAAGAGGGUCUCGCAACCACGCGUACCUGGUGCAUCAACUGUCGGAUUUAUAAGCCUGGCAGUCCACCAUGGGGUUACCCAAGUGGUUGAUUUGUAGGUGGGGGCGGUUGCAAAACCAAGAACUUGAAGGUAAUCACUAAAACAGGAGGGAUAGAAGGGUUUUAGACAGGUUCGGACCUUCGGAGAGUAAUACCCUAUGUCCUGUGUUUUGAUAGUUUGUAUUGCUUGAGAGUUGAUGGGGAUUCUUGGGAUUGGAUUCGUUGGGUUGCCUCAGGAGGCUCCCUUGGCUGCCUUAUGUAGGUUGACAACCAAGAGUUACAUGUCGGUAUGAAUAUAAUCUACUCAGUAGUUAUAUGGAAAGUAAUUUGAGUCAGACUACAAUACGCGUUCCAUGAUAUCCAGGCAGAUUUGGACUGUCUUGUUACCUUGAUGUGUACUCCAAGUAACUUCAUGUCCUUGGCCCACACGCCUUGGUCGGGCGGGCCCACUUGUUAGGUCCGACUAGUAUCCUGGUCGGUUGGGACCCAUGGGAUACCCAUAUCCCUCAACCAGCUGCAUCUCCAGCCGCAAAACCCAAGAAAACCCAGAAAGUACAGAAGAUGAAGGACGUGCAACCAUCUGUGUCUUCUUCUCCUGGACCGGAUGCCCCAUCCACAAGCUAAAAUGCUACGGAGGAAGUCCUACUCAACGGACAUAAAAAUGGUGAGCCCUUGCCGAAUGUAAAUCAGUGUUAUCAAAUAUUUGAAUUUUCAAAAUUGUAUAUUUUCUUUAUUUGUUUUUUUUUCAAACUGCAUAUUUUAUUUUUUCAAACUUGCAUUUGCAUACUGGAAUUUAUUCUAGCCCCUUUAACCUUUCAUAAAAAUUUUCUAAAAAUUCAAAGGCAAUAAAAUAACUUUGAGCAAAAUACUUUGCAAAAUAUUUCGGAGCAUUUCCGGAACUCACUUUGGUCGGGCCUCCCCACUAUGUCACAAUAUAGUUGUUGGGGGGCCGUGGGCCAAAACUAGCAGCCAGUGGGACCCACUAGGGGUUGGUCGAACCGUUGGUUCGGCCGAACCAGGCCCAACGGCUCUUGGGCCCCACCAACGCCAAUGGCUCCUAGCCGUUGCCCUUGGUCGGUUCCCAAUAGCCCGGUGGUUUUGCUCUAUAAAUAUAGGCCGAGAGGUGCAUGUUGAUCAUCCAUUCAACGUGUCACUCACUCACCUCCUCUCCUCUCUUUGGCUCUCGGGUUUUCAUAGAGUUCUUGCUCAAGUCCAAGCACAAGAAACCUCUCUCUCUCUCAAUUCCUUUGCUGCAAGAAUCAACAACCUUGGUGGAGCAACUCGUGGGUAAGAGCUCAUUUUUAUUUUGCUAACGUAACCCAUGUGCAAGUUGUGUUCGUAAACCAUGAAAGGAAUGGGACAGAUGCUCUCCAACGCGUUCAGGGAGGUGAUAGGAUCAAGCUUAAGCCGCUCCCAUGGAAGCGCAAGCACACACCACUCCGAGGACUACAUGCCAAGCCCACUCUGGACCGCAAGCCAUGGAGGUGGAAGAACCACCUCUCGACUUACACGACGACCAGGAAAUGCAAGCCUACGUCCUCAUUAAGGACCGAGUCUUCGCUCACACGCAAGCAUUCGACUCGGAGCUCCUUGAGAGCACAGGUAUAGACGUCGAUUUUGCUAAUGUUUAGCAUACAAUUGGAUGGAAUGAUUUCGUGCCCAUUUCUAAGGAAGGUUCCCGCCUCCUCACCAUCCAAUUCCUUUGCACCUUGCAAGAAGUAGAUGAUGGUAUAUCCUUUCAAUUCUUCGGAAGAGAAUACCAACUGCCUUGGAUGAACCUUAGUCUGCUUCUUGGUUUUCAUAGAAAAUGCAUAGUCGACUUUGACAAAGUUGUUCGUGAGUUUAAUCGCCAUUCCUUUUGGACAAGUAUUUCUGGUCAAGUCGUUGUUGGCAAGUUUUCUCCAUGCUGCAAUGUUUUUCAUAAUCCUAUUUUGAGGUUGAUGCAUAAGGGGCUUGCUUUAUCGCUCUUCCCUACGGAAGAUGUUAGGCCUGUUCAUAAUGAUGAGCUUAAAAUUCUUUUCACCAUGGUUAAGAAGAUUAGAGUUUCUCCUGUUAAGCCCAUGAGUGCUCAGUGGUUAGAACAUGUCAAGAUGAUUGGUCCUAUUGAGUGCAUGUCUUUAAUUACUCGCAUUGCUUCAAAAGUUGGGGCGUUAGAUGGCGUACCUGUUCCGUUCAUUCAACCCAUACUAUCAUUGAUGAAGCAUAUCUUAUUCAAGGUCACACUCUUAAGCAUGAUGAAAACCAGUAUCUUGUAUUCUUCUUCCCUGGCUAUACAAAUGAAAUCCCAUUACCUAACCCUUCCUCUUGCACCACAAGAGGAAGCUCGCAGGAGUAAUGUCUUUGGUAGGUUAACUCGGAGAAGGUCCAGGAACAAAGCCACUACCUCACAGUACCAGCCCCCGUAGUCCUACCACGUCAUGCAGCAGAUGUACUAGGCAGGGUGGGUUCUGUUGGGAUACGAGGUAGGCUACGCUAGCGCAAAUCAAAAUUUUCUACCGCGUAUAACCAGGAAGAACUGCCGUAUAAGGAUCACGGGAUUACCACUCGACGCACUACUGGUGCGGAAGAUGUAGAUAUGCGUCGGUGCAGUGGAGACGAUCACGUAGUCGUACGUAGUCGAUCAACGUAGUCGUACGUAGUCGAUCACGUCCAGCAGCUCCUCAGCAGCUCGUCCACGUGCACAGCAAGAUCGCCUCCGGUGCCGCGGCUCGUCGUCGGCUCGUCGUGGCUCGUCGGCGGCUCGUCGAUGGCUCGUCCAAGUGCUGCAGGCGCAACACCUCCAAGGUAUCCACACGUGCAGGGAGGAAGCGUCGCAAGCCGGAUUGCUAGAUCCGCGAGUUGCAACAGGCGAGGGCGUGGGAGGCGCGGCAAGUAUGUUCAGCCAAAAGGUAUGAACCCUAGGGCGCCCCCACCCCUCUAUUUAUAGGGGUUCCUGACGGGCCUCUGGAUCCGAGGCCCAUUAGUACUCCUAAACCUAAUCCAACUCGGAUCAGAUCCGAAUUGGGCUUCCAGCCCCUUAAGUGUGUGACCCUAUGGGUUCGGAUACGUAUAGACAUGGCCCGAGUACUCCUACUCGGCCCAAUAGUCGGUAGCGGCCUCUAGCAAGACGUGCCAACUCCUAUACGCAUACGAAGAUCAUAUCAGACGAACCAUCACAACAUAAUAUACAUGCUAUUCCCUUUGCCUCACGAUAUUUGGUCUAGCUUCAAGCCGACUUGGAUAUCCUUCUGAUCGGUUGUAGAAAUAAUAUCCCAAAGUUUCCUUUGGAUAUCCCACGAAAAUGCACUUAUCCGACUUGGGUGUGAUCUUGUCCGACUGAAGUCGCUUGACAAACACUUCACAUCCCCAAAUCUUUAGAAAAGACAAACUAGGAACCUUUCCAGUCCACAUCUCAUAUGGUGUCUUAACUACGGAUUUAGAUGGUACCCUAUUAAGUGUGAAAGCUGCUGUUUCUAGAGCAUAUCCCCAAAAUGACAACGGUAGGUCCGACUGGCUCAUCAUUGAUCGAACCAUGUCUAACAAAGUUCGAUUACGUCACUCGGACACACCGUUUCUCUGAGGUGUUCCAGGCGGCGUAAGUUGUGGAACAAUUCCGCAACUCUUUAGAUGAUUGCUAAACUCGUGGCUCAAAUACUCGCCUCCACGAUCAGAUCGUAAGGCCUUAAUUUUCUUGCCACGCUGAUUUUCAACUUCAUUCUGAAAUUCCUUGAACUUUUCAAAGGUUUCAGACUUGUGCCUCAUCAAGUAGACAUAGCCAUAUCUACUAAAAUCAUCAGUGAAAGUUAUGAAGUAUUGGAAUCCUCCUCUAGCCGUCGUGCUCAUUGGUCCGCAUACAUCACUAUGUACGAGUUCCAACAAGUCUACUGCUCUCUCAGGAAAUCCUGUGAAAGGCGUCUUGGUCAUCUUGCCUAGCAAGCAAGCCUCACAUGUCUCGUAUGAUUCAAAAUCAAACGAAGUUAGAAGUCCAUCAGAAUGGAGCUUCUUCAUGCGCUUAUCACUUAUGUGACCCAAACGACAAUGCCACAAGUAUGUAGGACUCAAAUCAUUAGGCCGAGGCCUUUUAGCACUUACAUUACAGACAGGUGAACCAUCAAGAUUUAAAACAAAUAAUCCAUUCACAAUGGGUGCAAAAGCCAUAAACAUAUUAUUCUUAGAGAUCACACAACCAUUGUUUUCACUCGCAAAUGAAUAACCAUCCUUCAUCAAACAUGAAGGAGAUAAAAUGUUUCGACUUAAACUAGGAACAAAAUAACAAUUAUUCAACUCCAUAAUAAAUCCUGACGGGAGGUGGAGUUGCAUCGUCCCGACGGUCAAAGCAGCAACUCUUGCAUUAUUGCCCACGCGGAAAUCAACUUCUCCUCUUUCCACGCUUCUACUUCUUAUCAUUCCCUGCAUCGAAUUGCAAAUAUGAGCAACCGAUCCGGUAUCAAAUACCCAAGAAUUAAUAACUGUAUCAGCGAGAAAUAUGUUGUCUAUAACAUAAACAACAAGCGUACCUGAGGUAGAAGUACUCUUACUUCCGCCGUUCUUCAACGAAGCUAGGUACUGCUUGCAGUUUCUCUUCCAGUGACCAAGUUCAUGACAGUAAAAGCACUCUUUAUCUGGAGCAGGUCCAGGUCCAGCUUUAACCUUGGGCGGUGGGUUUGGCUUGGACGUUCCAGCCUUGCCCUUCUUCUUCCAAGAAUUGCCCUUCUUCUUAAAGCUGGGCUUGUUCUGUAUCGCCAUCACAUGGCUGGUACUAGCGCUUUUCUUUAUGUCAGCCUCUGCUGUUUUAAGCAUGCCACACAGCUCAUUCAGACCCUUCUCCGUCCCAUGCAUAUGGUAGUUCGAGAUGAAGUUCCCAUAGCUAGGAGGAAGAGACGAAAGAAUGAAAUCAGUGGCCAACUCUUGGCCCAGUGGGAAGCCUAGCUUCUCCAACCGUUGAGUGUAACCAACCAUCUUGAUUACGUGUGGUCCUACUGCUGCGCCUUCUGCUAGCUUGCUCUCAACAAAGGCCUUAGACACAUUGAACCUUUCAGUCCUGGCCUGUGUUUGGAACAUGUCUCUAAGCGCCACGAUCAUAUCGUGCGCCUCAUGGUUUGUUUCGAACUGCAUCUGCAGCUCGGGUUCCAUGCAAGCAAGCAUAAGGCAGCUUACUUCGAGGUUAGCAUCACAUGCUUUCUUGUAAGCAUUCUUAGCAGCGGCGGGUGCAUCCUCAGCAGGUUCUUCUGGUAGUGGGUUGUCUAGAACAUCUUCCUUUUUCUCAGCCCUGAGAACAAUUCUCAGGUUGCGGAUCCAAUCCGAGUAGUUUGUUCCAUUCAACUUGUCCUUCUCAAGGACCGAACGCAAAGCAAAAGAUGUGGUGGUGUUGCUAGGUGCCAUUUAAUCUACAACAAAAGUAAUGCAAAAUACACUAAGACAAACGUAUCCAUGAUAGAGCAAAUUACAUUAAACUAUUUUAACAGAAUCUACUCCCACUAAAAUCAAUAUCCCUCUAUUGAAACUUAGUGAUUCAGGAUCCACAACUAACAAGUCUACUAGUGAGCUUUAGCAUCACCGCUAGCAAACGAGGUAGGUCGGUAAGCAACUUUUGCUAAUCAUAUCACAUAUGACUCCUGUUGUUGGGUGACAUCUCUAUGUCUCGGCGCCCAACCUUUAUGCCCCAAGGUCCUUAACCGUUAAGAUAACCUUGUUAAGUAAACCAACCCUUAUGCGUGUAAGUGUCCGACACAAACCCGUCUAGUCAAGGAAAACUAGUGGCACCCUAAUUUCAUAGACCCACCACUAAUUGUACAAGACAUGGGACGGCGCAAGUUUUAGUUGGGAGGGCAUACUAACUUAAACUUUGUGAGGGAUCGUUCUACUUCUAACAUCACAGCAUGCAGAAAGUAAAACAUAAAACAGAAUAGCAUUCACACAGUUGUGACACAGUAUGGCCCGUUUUUCUUAUGGUGAUCUCCAUCUCCAUAGAACCUGUUCACCAUGGUGAUCUCCAUCUCCAUGUUCCAUGUGCGCCAUCCUCCUGGUGAUGAGUCCUCCAAGAACUAGAGCAUGCUAUUACGCCUAAUAGCUAGUAAAGAAUCUAGUAAUGAAGAUUACAUAGUUGCUUGGAUCAUCACAGAUUGGUACGCAGACCAUUAAUUACAAUAAAGUGACAACACAUAUGGCUCCUGCCGUGUUGCCGUACGCGCGACACGCAGGUCACGAAUUAGUUACACACAUGCAUCACAUACACAAGGGGGCCAUACUGAUCACAAGAUAUAUACAUACAUCCUGCAAAAGAGAGUUAGGCAUCCUAACGUUCCAAACUUGGGAGGCCCGAAACUCCAUCUUCCAAGCCGAAUUUGGCAAAUCUAAUUUCGCCGAAAACGGCAAAGCGGUUGAAAUUCACGUGUAACUUUUUCUGUAGAUCAAUUUUCGUAUAGAAAUCGCCCCGAUCCGAGAUCGUACCGAAAAGUUACGGCUGAUUUACCGAAGCAUGCGCAUACGGCAAAAUCCCGACCCCGGCAGUAGAUCACAUCUACUAUUGCACAUCUAAUGCGCCUGGCGUAUGACCCUGGAUCUCGAUUUGACCAAUCAUAUUGAUCUUCCCUCACUGCAACUGGAUUUACGUGUAUCACUUAACUCCGAUGGCGGAAACCGACCGGUAGGAGUAUGUCGUUACACUACCAUUGCAGCAAGGGCACGAAAUCAGGACAUAGAUCAAACAGAGAACUCGCAUAUCUCCAUAUGCAUACAUCCCGAAUCCAAAACUAAGCAGCUAAGGCUCUGAUACCACUGUUGGGAUACGAGGUAGGCUACGCUAGCGCAAAUCAAAAUUUUCUACCGCGUAUAACCAGGAAGAACUGCCGUAUAAGGAUCACGGGAUUACCACUCGACGCACUACUGGUGCGGAAGAUGUAGAUAUGCGUCGGUGCAGUGGAGACGAUCACGUAGUCGUACGUAGUCGAUCAACGUAGUCGUACGUAGUCGAUCACGUCCAGCAGCUCCUCAGCAGCUCGUCCACGUGCACAGCAAGAUCGCCUCCGGUGCCGCGGCUCGUCGUCGGCUCGUCGUGGCUCGUCAGCGGCUCGUCGAUGGCUCGUCCAAGUGCUGCAGGCGCAACACCUCCAAGGUAUCCACACGUGCAGGGAGGAAGCGUCGCAAGCCGGAUUGCUAGAUCCGCGAGUUGCAACAGGCGAGGGCGUGGGAGGCGCGGCAAGUAUGUUCAGCCAAAAGGUAUGAACCCUAGGGCGCCCCCACCCCUCUAUUUAUAGGGGUUCCUGACGGGCCUCUGGAUCCGAGGCCCAUUAGUACUCCUAAACCUAAUCCAACUCGGAUCAGAUCCGAAUUGGGCUUCCAGCCCCUUAAGUGUGUGACCCUAUGGGUUCGGAUACGUAUAGACAUGGCCCGAGUACUCCUACUCGGCCCAAUAGUCGGUAGCAGCCUCUAGCAAGACGUGCCAACUCCUAUACGCAUACGAAGAUCAUAUCAGACGAACCAUCACAACAUAAUAUACAUGCUAUUCCCUUUGCCUCACGAUAUUUGGUCUAGCUUCAAGCCGACCGCUCUUUCUCGAUCCUGUGAUUCAGAAUCCCUUUGUAGGUUAACUCUUAACCGUACGUAGCAUGGCCAUGCAUUUUCGGAUCCGAUCACUCGAGGGGCCCAGAGAUAUCACUCUCAAUCAGAGAGGGGCAAAUCCCAUCUUGAUUGACCAUGUCUCAUAGCAUGCUUCUUGACAAACCCGAAAGCUACCUUUAUAACUACCCUGUUACGGCGUAGCGUUUGAUAGCCCCUAAGUAGGUCGAUCCACAUCUAGAAUACAUGCGACAAUCUCAGGUCUAAGGACAAAGCGUAUAUGUUGUUUAAAGAGAGAACUACUUCUCGUGUUGGGUCAGUCCUAACACAUGUCUCCACAUGUGUCCACAUUAUUAGUUCAACAUCUCCAUGUCCAUGACUUGUGAAACAUAGUCAUCAACUAAUACAUGUGCUAGUCUAAUAUUCAUGUGUGUCCUCACAUGAACUCCGACUAGGGACAACUUUAGAAUAACCAUACAAGUAAAGAGUUUCACAUACAAUUCACAUAAUUGCAAAUCAAUUCAAGUAGCCUUUAAUGGAUAUUCAAUGAACACAAUAUACAAAUCAUGGAUACAAGUGGAAUAUCAUCAUCUCUAUGAUUGCCUCUAGGGCAUACCUCCAACAGGUUCCAGUUGGGCAGAUGCUAGGGAUUGCACUUGGGUAUCAGCCAGGUUGGGACCAACCUCCAUAGCCGCAUGGAGCUGGAGGCUCAGGCUAGCAAAGUGCAAGCAACACAGAAUGGGAGCAAGGACCAUAUGGACAUCACAUUUCUUCCAGCUCCAGUGGUCCGCCCCUGAUGUCCGUGCACACGGAUCCUUCUCGACAAGGCGACACCGUGACCUCACGGACCUCAGCCGCCAGAUGAAUGACCUCGAGAUCCAGAUAGGUGAAAUACAAAACACUCUUAACACACAUGUCCAUGGUUUCUCUACGUGGUAGUAGCAGGUCGACAUACAGUUCAACGCCAUCAACACCUCGCUGCAACAAAGCCACGACGACCUACAGGCCUAAUUCCGCUCCUAAGGGUACAACCCCCAUCUAGGCCAAUGAGCAAGGAACAAGCUUGGGGAGGAGACCCCCAAGAGAGGUAUCUUGUAUCUUCAUUUCUUAUCUUUGCAUAUAAAAAAUCUGCAUAUGACAAAAAGAAUAAAAAUAUUUACUUGCUUUCAUAUGUGUAGUAAGAAUGUUUUAGUUCUUCCUUGUUGAGAUGAUGAAUAGUUGCUCUUCUCUAUUUCCUUCGUGUGCCUAGUUUACAACUUAGUUUGUUGGCUGUCGUUCAUCCUAGAAACUUGAAUCUUGUGGGUUGCAAGUGCAUGAUCUAAGUCUAAGUUGUUGCAUGAUGUGAGAUGGUAUAAUAGAGUUUGCUAUGAUCUUGUUCCAAGUGAAAGUUGACAUCCGGAGUUCUAUUUCCAAAAUCAUAAAAAUAAUAAAGUUCCUCAAUGAUGAUUGAAAUGUCCUACCAAAGCCAUAUGAUGUUAAUUUGCACAACAUGUACACAUAUGUUGCUUGCUAUCACUUUGAGCAUUGUCAAAUUGUUGUGACCCUUGAGAAGUCCUCAUCAUACUUUCAUGAUCAAGAUCACGUACACUCCACAUAUUUUUUUUAUGCUGACUUCUACACCGGAAGUUAUGCAAAACUAUGCCUUCCAUCCACAUAUAUAUGCUCCAUCCCUAUGACAUUACUCCCCUCUAUUCAUAAUGCAAAAAGAUAUGGGUUAUGCAAAAAGAAGAAAAAGAAAAAAGAAAUAAAAUCCAUGCUCAAAUAGCCUAAGAGAAAAAAGAGAGAGAAAAGAGAAAAAGAGAAGAAGGAAAAAGAAAUAUGGAUAGCCCACAUCCCAAAAAUAAAUAAAAGAGGGAGUCAUGCAAAAAGGAGUUCAAAUAAAAUCCCACCAAAAAUUCCACACACAUGCAGUUCUUGAUCAGAUUGUAUGUCUUGCACCUCAUCGGAUCCACUCUUUGACUUUGCAAAAUUAUGUGAUACAAGUAUGCCUCAUUUCAUAUCCUACCCAAAACCCCACAAAAAGCCUAUUAGAAGUAGGAUGAAAAGAGGCAAUUCAUGCCUUGGUGAGGACUAUAUACAUUGAGCGAUCAAGAGCAUCAUAUGAGGAACUUGUUUUCAUUUCACAAACCAUCAAAAACCUUCAGAAAGAUAGUUCAACAAGGAGUAAGUGAAUGGUGACUUUAUAUAACCGUUCUAUCUUGCAAUUGCCCAAGACAUGGAAAAAGCCAAAAGCCCCAUGGGACUAAGGUAAAAGGGUGGACAAUGCCAACUUAUUCAAUUCGAGGAAGAAUCCUUUAUUGUCCACAUGGUAAAUGGAAGAAAGAAGGUAUUGUAGCAACUCAUGAUCAACAACCUAAGCAUUAGCUUUUGCUCGGGAUGAGCAAAUGGCAAGCUUGGGGGAGUUUGUUGACGGUCCUUAUGUCAGAAAUCUGACCGUCACGCUACUCAAAGAAUAAAGGAAAACUAACAUUCCUUACUCACAUAUUUGUUAUCAAUAACCUAGUGCACAUGUAUUGGCAAAUAAGUUAUUUUAGGGACACAAAUCUGUACAAGAGAGGAAACAUGCGCAAACAUGGAUGAAACACACAGAAGGAC
rnacentral:lncRNA from 1 species